rnacentral:misc_RNA from 1 species
UCGGCAGCACUGCCGGCUCCCAAAUCCAGUGGCGACCCGCCGCGGGGACCCCUGCGUAGUAACUAACACUCGCACCGGAAACCAGACGUGUCACGCCGUAAAACCCCCCACUUUCUGAACGUUGACCUCGGAUCAGGUAGGAAU